AGGGGUAUAGCUCAGUGGUAGAGCGUAUGCUUAGCAUGCACGAGGCCCUGUGUUCAAUCCCCAGUACCUCCA
rnacentral:tRNA from 1 species